CCGCGUGAAACUCGAGCGCCCCACCCGCGCCUGACCUCCCCGAGCCCCUCCCCGGGUCCCGCCCCUUCCCGGGACAGGACCCCCCCCCUUGCUCCCGGAUGCCCCGCUGCACCUCAGGAGUUCCAUUCCCGCCUCCCCAGUGCGAGUGCGGCCGUGCGGUGACUUUUGGGGGCUCCCUGCCCCGUCUCACAGGGCCCUGCUGCGCCUCCCGCCCUGGGUUCCGACUCAGACGUGGCUGCACCCAGGAGGGGGGCGCCGGCCGAGACUUGAGACGUGGCGCGCCAGAUCUGCUGGCCUCUGCUCCAGGAUCUUUGGGCCUUACUGAGUGCUCGGGUGAAAAGUUUGUAAUCGGGAAGCAAGUAAAGCACCUUUGAAGGCUUGUAUGAUUGGAUACUUUGGUGCACUUCCUCAGCUUCUCCAGAAGGUAGUUGAGCGGGGAGGAAGAGGGUCAGCCUCGCGAAAAGAGCAAAUGUGCCUGAAUUUCAGCCACAUCCCUAAGCUGCCAUCUCAGACUGAGGAACAGGGAGGGGGGCUGGAAAGAACACCACCUGGAAGAAGUCAGGACUUGACUGUGGGCCAUGAGUGACCUUCAAAGGAAAAGCUCGGUAUCUGUGGUCUUUAAGAUGUGAUAAGAUUGUAUUAAAAUUUUAGAAAAACCUCAA